rnacentral:lncRNA from 1 species
UCUGGGAAAGUUGGCACAUGAUUUUUCACCACCCUGUGAGAAAGUUCCACGCGGCAGCUUUGCAUUGGGGCUUGGGAUGCUUUAUUAAGGCUGGGAGGGGCAUCCGAGAGAGAGAAGAAGAAAUAUCAAGGGCCUGAAUAAACUGCUGAAAGAAGAUUCCUGAGUUGCGUCUUCCUUGCGGGCAAGGGGUCGCGACAAGUGGUGCCGAAACCCGGGAACCAGAACUUUCAACAGUCAGGGGUGGUGCACCGGUUAGUCCCAGGUAAGUGGGAUCUGCGAUCAAAGCGGGGUUAGUCCCUAGUAAGUGGGAUCCGCGACCAAAGCGGGACAGCUCCUCUGUAAUGAAAGAGAGAGCCUUACAUUUUAUUGCAGCUGCACUGUGUACUUUCGCUCCUACUUUCGCUUUCUUUCUUUUGUGCUUUCUUUGUUGUUGUGUCAUGGGUGCCGCAUCUUCAAGUCCGCUUCUCCUGGCCCUAGAUGGCCUGUUACGUUCCAAGGGACUGGAAGUGAAACAUAGUACUUUACAGAGAUUUUUACAGAAGAUAGAUAUCGCUGCACCGUGGUUUGCAUUUUCGGGCAGCCUUACUGUGCCUAGUUGGGAUAAAUUAGGCAAAGAUCUUGACUUUGCUUCUGAGCAGGGCAUAUUAGAGGGUGGGGUGAUACCCCUUUGGAAAAUGGUCCGUGGUUGCCUUACAGAUGGUAAAUGCCAGGAAGCUGUGAGUGAGGGUCAAGCUAUUCUUGAGCAAUUGCAUGAGGAAAAAUCUGAAGGAUCAUGUAGUGAAGUGGCAGAGAGUAUUAAAAGUAACAGUAGUGAGAAGGCAAAAGAGCCUGAAGAUAAAAAUAGGAGAAGGCUCUACCCAGACUUGACCGAAUUAAAAACGCCUGAGAACACAAGCGACUCAGAGAGUUCUGAGGACCUUGAUAUAUUGUUACAACAACUACAUAAGAUAAAAAUGAAAAAGAAGAAAAAGGAGACACAGGGCACGCAGGCCUACUGUAAGAAGGGGAAGGGAGUUAACAUCGGUCAACAAAACUCUGAGGAGGAGGAGGUAGAAUAUCUAGAAGAAGAUAUGGUGCCGAUUGCCCCACCUCCGUAUGUGGGGGGGAGCCAAGGUUCCGGGAGAUCUUUUCAUGCACAAGUUUGGAGGACAGUUAAUACAGAUAUGGGACUUGCAUACCCUGUAUUUCAGGACAAUAACAGGGGAAGAUAUCAUGAGCCUUUAGACUUUAAGAUAAUUAAAACCUUGGCAGAAUCUGUCCGCACUUAUGGCAUAGAUGCCGCUUUCACUCUCACUCAGGUGGAGGGACUUACUAGAUUUUGCAUGACUCCCUCAGAUUGGGCUAGUCUAGUCCGCGCUUGUGUUUCCCCAGGGAAAUAUUAGGAGUCCAAAGUUGGCUGUUUAAUGUUUCUGGCAGUACCCAAGACUCGGAGCGAGGUAGGAGGCUUAAAAUUUCUGCAAAUAAUUCACAAUUAUCUAAUGCUACAUUACCCUCCGCAGCAGUCUGUCUCCAAUCUCCGUUCCUGUUUCUUUUGGCUAAUGUUACAUUACAGGGGAUGCUUAAUUGUUCUAAUAUUACCUGUUAUUUGUCUGAGUGUUGGAAUGGCUCCUGGACUACGGCAAUGGUUAUGAAAUUUCCAACCUUUGUCCCGAUCCCGGUUACUGCAGAUCCAGAGUCAUUUCCUAUUGUUGAACUGAUUAGAGCCCGUAGAGAUUUUGGAAUUACGGCAGCUAUAGUGACAGCUGUGGCAGUGUCUGCUGCUGCAGCAGUUACAGCUGGAGUAGCCAUGGCCAGCCAGGUACAAACUGCUGCCACUAUUAAUCAGGUUAUUCAACAAACAUCCACCAUACUUGAAUCUCAAAGUAGAAUUAAUCAACACAUUCUAUCUGGGAUUUUGGCUGCUAAUCAAAGGAUAGAUCUGCUUCAAGCUCAAGUUGAGGAAUUGUCUGACCUAGUACAUUUGGGUUGUAUUGAUCAACGUGCACAUUUAUGUAUAACCUCUGUCAGAUUUUAUGAUUCCAGAAAUGCCUCCCACAUCAUCGGGGAGUAUCCAUCCGGAACCUGGUCCAUGGAAGCAGAAAACAUGAUCCAGUCUCAACUAACCCAGAUAGCUGUCUUGAACAGUACCCGUGUCGAUCCCGUGACUUUGGGUCAAUUCACC